rnacentral:rRNA from 1 species
GACGAACGCUGGCGGCGUGCUUAACACAUGCAAGUCGAACGGAAAGGCCCUGCUUUUGUGGGGUGCUCGAGUGGCGAACGGGUGAGUAACACGUGAGUAACCUGCCCUUGACUUUGGGAUAACUUCAGGAAACUGGGGCUAAUACCGGAUAGGAGCUCCUGCUGCAUGGUGGGGGUUGGAAAGUUUCGGCGGUUGGGGAUGGACUCGCGGCUUAUCAGCUUGUUGGUGGGGUAGUGGCUUACCAAGGCUUUGACGGGUAGCCGGCCUGAGAGGGUGACCGGCCACAUUGGGACUGAGAUACGGCCCAGCCUCCUACGGGAGGCAGCAGUGGGGAAUAUUGCACAAUGGGCGGAAGCCUGAUGCAGCACCGCCGCGUGCGGGAUGACGGCCUUCGGGUUGUAUACCGCUUUCGCCUGUGACGAAGCGUGAGUGACGGUAAUGGGUAAAGAAGCACCGGCUAACUACGUG